UGACAUGUGAAGAGUAUCCUAGAUUUUUCAGGUGGGUCCAGUGUAAUCACAGAAGCCUCACAAAGGGAAAGAGGAAAGCCAGAGAGACCUUGGAAUGAAGGCCAGAGAUACGAAGGUGAAAAAGAGAUUUAAGAAAGCUAGGCCCUUGGCUUUGAAGACAGAGGCAGGUACCACCAGCCAAUAAAUGCAAGUAGGCCUCUUGUAGCUCACAAAGGCAAGAAAACAAAAGCAAGAAAACAGAUUCUCUGUUAGAGCCUCGCUGACACUCUGAUUUUAGGACUUCGGACCUCCAGAGCUUUAAGGUACCGCCGUAAACCUUGCUUUGGAUGAAAGAUGCCAGACAGCCUCCUGAUCCUGCUCAUUGACUUUGCCCUCCUUUGCAGAAUGAACAGAAUAUUCCUGCACAUGAUGGAACAAGAACAGAACCUGCUUGUACAACCCCCGGGGGCACUGAGAUAACGUUGUUAGCUGGCACCAUCGAGUUGGCAUGUAAUCAAGAAAUGUUGCAGACCACUGCACUCCCUUUCCUGAUUAACUACCCUAAGCCCUUUUCAAAACCCCUGGACCAGACAGAAACCUCAGAGUUGGCUCUUGGACGAGAGUCUACCUUCUCCUCAGGUGGCUGGCUUCUUGAAUAAACCUCAAAUUCCUUUCCAAUCAAAA